AGCAGCCGCGGUAAUUCCAGCUCCAAUAGCGUAUAUUAAAGUUGUUGCAGUUAAAAAGCUCGUAGUUGAAUUUCGGGAUUUGUCAGUUGGUCGGGCUUCACUGUCCGUACUAACUUGAUGGAUUCUUACCUUCUGAAUAACCAGCAUGCUAUUUAGUUAGUGCGUUGGGAAGCAGAUCUAUUACCUUGAAAAAAUUAGAGUGCUUAAAGCGGGCUAGUGCUUGAAUAGAUUAGCAUGGAAUAAUAAAAUAGGACGGCAUGGUUCUAUUUUGUUGGUUUCUAGGAUCACCGUAAUGAUUAAUAGGGAUAGUUGGGGGCAUUAGUAUUCAAUUGUCAGAGGUGAAAUUCUUGGAUUUAUUGAAGACUAACUUCUGCGAAAGCAUUUGCCGAGGAUGUUUUCAUUAAUCAAGAACGAAAGUUAGGGGAUCGAAGACGAUCAGAUACCGUCGUAGUCUUAACCAUAAACUAUGCCGACUAGGAAUCGGACGAAGUUAAUUUUAUAAUGACUCG
rnacentral:rRNA from 1 species